UGUUACUUGGGUUGCAACCGUUGUGAGGCCAUCAGCAACCACAGAGUAGGGUGAACCAAGGGGAGGACCCCCCUCGAACGUUAGUAGUGCGGAUGAGGAAGAAGUCAAAGCCGCAGGUAGAAGUAGCUAGGGACGCCAAACCAAGGCGUAAAAAAAUAGGUGCCGAGCGUCUUGAAGGCGAUUCAAAGCGAUGCCAAGCUUGUGGACCUGGGAGCCGACGUGUGCAGUAUUAGACGUACUCGUACGGGUGAGAUGAUCCUCGGGCUCAAGCGCGACAAGGAGCGCGAAGGCGUCGCCUAAAAAAGUCUGGCAGAAGAGGUCCUUGGCGAAGGGAUGGUUACAAUGCCAGGAGCAGGUGGCCACUGCUGCCGUUAGGCUACGGAAGGGCUAGGUAGGGACACAGGUGGCCUUGGUACAGCUACUUUUGGUGGACGUAAACAAGUGGGGAAAAAUAGGUAGGUUGGCCAGUAUGCCAAUGCCAACUGACCUUGCACGAGCCACCGGAGGUUUGCUUCAGGUGUCUGGAACAAGGACACAAGUCAUGGGACUUUAAAGACCUUGACAGGAGCAAACUGUGUAGGCGAUGCGGCGGCGAAGGCCAUAAGGCACAAGGCUGUACGAGUCCACCCACAUGUUUGAUUUGUUCCGGAAAAUCCGUGAGCAGCAAGUACCCAUCUGGAGCUGCAAUGUGUCCGGCCUUCAGAAAAGCCGUAGCAGAUAAUACAGCUGAACCUGAACCCAAGACCUGAACCACUGCGCCGCAGCUCAGCAACUGCUUUGUCAGGGAGUAUGAGAGUAGGGGACAGAUAUCGCCAUCAUGUCGGACCCAUACCGAGUACCCGCCGGCAAUCGGGUCGCGAAAAAAGAGGCGGCGAUAUGGACGACGGAUAAAUACCCCGUCCAGGAUUUGGUGUCUACUAACUACGAGGGCUUCGUGGUCACCAAAGUAAACGGGGUCUCCUUCUGUAGCUGUUAUGCGCCUCCGCGGUGAUCAAUCGAGCAGUUUACGCAGAUGCUGGACUGUAUGACGACCGUGCUGACAGGGCGAAGUGCGGUGGCUAGAGGGUGAUUUUAAUGCUAGGGCCGUAGAAUGGGGAAGCCGUUUCAUGAAUCAGUGGGGUCAGAUCCUGCUAGAGACAUUGGCCAUGCUAGAUGUCGAUCUGGCUAAUGCCGUUACCAAGGGUACCUUUAGUCGAAACGGUAUGGCGUCGAUUGUCUACAUGACUUUUUGUAGUCCUGGCCAAACAAGUAGUUCGAACUGGAGAAUAGACGAUGGCUACACACACAGCUAUAACCUGGCGGUUCGCUACAGUAUCGACUACAACAACAGCAGGUAGCGGGUAGAAGAAGAGGGGGCUAGGCCAAGGCCAAGCCCUCGCAGGUGGAAGACAUCAUCCUUCGACGAAGGGGUUUUUAGGGAGGCGCUCCGCCAUGAACGAAACCUACUUGAUUUAGACGGCAACGAACUGGUAGCGGUGCUUUCGCGUGCGUGCAAUACGGCCAUGCCUAGUCAAGUUCUAGGGUAGACUGGGAGGCCAUCGGCAUACUGGUGGACUCAAGCGAUUACGGUCCUGCGCCACGCCUGCCUACGGGCUAGGCGACGGAUGCAGCGAGCACGAUCAGAGGAAGAGCGAAACGAAAGACGGGUGGUGAUCGCCGCUACAAAAGCCGCGCUGAAGACCUAGAUAAGGACAAACAAAAAUGCCUGCUUCGAGGGUCUCUGUCAGAGUGCCAAUGCGAAGCCGUGGGGUGAUGUCUACAGGAUCGUGGUAGCCAAGGCGAGAAUGGUUCCUACAGAGCAAUCUUCAGAGAUGUUGGAGGGGAUCAUCGAGGGGCUUUUGCUAAGGGCUGAAAGUCUCUAAAAUAAAUCGAGGGGAUUUUUCCGCGUCAUGAUCUUAGUUCUUGGCCUCCUUUCGUAGGACAGCCGGGGACUGGGGCUGGCGAUAAGGAGAGGGUCGCCGAUAUGGAGCUUGCGGGAAUAGCAAAGUCCGUUAGAGUAGAUAAGGCCCCAGGUCCGGACGGAGUUCCGAACCUGGCCUUAAAAGUAGCUAUUGCAGAGACUCCCGAGAUGUUCAGGUCUGCUAUGCAGAAAUGCCAGGACGAGGGAGUUAUCCCAGAAGUAUUGAAGAGGCAUAGCCUGGUUCUAUUGCCAAGGGCGGGGAAACCAUCCGGAGACCCGUCGGCGUAUAGACCAAUUUGCUUGAUUGACACGGCGGAGAAGGUACUCGAAAGAUCAUCCUCAAUAGAGUGUUGAGGCACAUCGAGGGUGUAAACGGUCGCUCGGGUAGCCAGUGCGGCUUCUGGAAGGGGCCGUAGACCGUAGACGCUAUCCUGUCGGUUACAAAGUCCACCUAGGAAGCUCUCCAGCGUUAGAGGAGGGAGAUUUACUACUAUGCAGUGACCUUGGAUGUAAGAAACGCGUUCAAUAAGGGGUGCUAUGUAUAAGAUUCUCGAAAGUUUCUUCCAGAGUCGAGUACUAGUUAACGAUACAGAGGUGGAUCGGAAGUGUUUUCACAUAACCUCAGGAGAUUCGCAAGGUUUCAUCUGCGGUCCGGUGUUAUGGAAUGUCAUGUAAGACAAGGUGUUGAUGUGAAAGUUCCUGCCAUAGUCGGCUUUGAUGUGUGGAUGAAUGGACAGCGGUACUGGUGUUCCAAAUUAUCGUGCGAAGAAAUCUACUGAGUAUGUCCCAAAUAACCCAAGAACACAAAAAAACGGAAAAUAAAACAACCAAAAAGGUAAAGUCUCAAGGACGCUUGCGUGGCUUUAUUUGUGUCUUUCCAACCUACAGCUAGUAAUAAUAAUAAAAAAAAAAAUACUAAAGGUGAGUAAAAAUAUUUUGAUUUUCCAUGUGUUGCGGUAUUGUGCCUAGCAAAAAUAUGUACAACCUACUAAACUUAGGUGACUAUCCUCUGAAAUUGCGAUGCAUGUGAACUUAUCUGCUAAAAAGGUAAAAAAGGUAUCUUUUCUGUUAAAGCCUACGAGUAAUAAAAAAAAAACCUUAUAGCUACGCACCCGUUCUUGUUUUUUUAUGUUUGUUUGAUUCCUUACUAGUUUUGCUUAAGAAGUUUUCCUUUCCUACAUCAUUUCUUGCGCUUCCGCCGCGGUCUGCUUGUUUUCAGUUACUCAAUCUUCCACAGAAACAACCGCGCGCGCUAUGCGACAAGAAAUGAUUUGUGCUAUAAAUGUGCUAAAACAAAACUCUCUGAGAUAAAAAGGUAAAACUAUGUGUGCGGCUACCGCCGCGGUGUAAUCAGGAGGUGAGAACAACUUAAUCGCAAUAAUAUAAACCUGACAAAACUUACGUUCUAGUUCGCGCAGUAUAGUUGUGUUGCUUCUCUUGAGUGAUUGUUUGUUUUUUGUUUAUGUGUGUGUGCGAGUUCCUAGGUUUCACUUCGCACUAGAACCGCGCAACUUUAUUGUUCAAGUUUCGUUUGUGUUUGUGUGUGCACGUUUGUUUCUCUAUCAGCUUCUUGUUCUUCACUGGGGUUAGGGUUAUUAAAAUAUAACAAACAAAAAAAAAUAAACUUAGAUUUAUAGGUAACACGUUUUUUCAGGAAUUUUCUCGUGGGUAGUGGCUACCGAAAGGGGGUGGAGGAUUUGCUAUAAAGUUAAUGUGUAGUUUUAAUAACUGGAGAUCAUUGGUGUCUUGCAUCUGCGCUAUUAGUUUGUUAAAUUUUGACAAAAGUAAAGUAAUCCUGCUUCGACUACAAUUUCCCUUGAGUAGACGCGAGUGUUGGUCGUACCUUUUAUUGUGCGCUGAUUCAUAUUUUUUUUAGACAGGAGUAUAUGCACACAUUGGGUAUGAGUUUUCUUUUUUUUUAACUGUUAUACACUUAUGCAUAUGGCACUUGUGGAAGAGACUUUUUCACAGCUUCAGUGUGACUCUAUUCGAUUAUGCCGUUUGUCGGGUUCGGACUAGUUCUACUUUCAACCAAAAAUGGUAGCCAAUCAUCAAGCAAGAGUUAGAGGGAGGGUUUCUGUCAUCAAAAAAGUUCUGGGCUCUUCGAAUGAACUUUGGAGGACUUUUGGGCUUCCUUCAUUUAUAUGUACUUGUCGACCUUUUGUCUUAGAUUCCAAAUAAAGUUUAGAGGGUUCGGCUUUCGGAACAAAGACUCUGUUCGUCACAUUGGAUACUCCUAAAAAGUAUUGCUGGUAAAUUUUGAAUAGAUUCGAAAACCCAGGAAAGUGAUAUGUCACACGAAUUCAGGCUUUUUUGCUUCCCAUUUUAAUACUUACGUGUGAAUUCUCAACAUCUUGGUGACUUUUUGUUGGUGUGAUAUUAUGGUUACUUUCGGGAUCGUAAGGCGAUGAAAAACACCUUGAGUAAAUAAUACAGCUUCCGCUCGAUGAUUGGGCUUUGACGUCUACCAUAACUGGACUGUUCCCGGGGCCAGAGGCUAUUGUUAUAUUGUGUUAUGAUUAUCGAUUUGCUAAAUGUGAGGUUAUGUUUCGUUUAUUUUUGACCGUCAACUGAUUUUCAACUGGACUGUGGUGGAUCAGUAAUCGAGCGCCCAGUUAAUAAGCAGUCCAGCUAAACAGCAGGCAGUUAUCAAGCAGAUACUGUAUAAGGUUAGAAUGCCAUGUCGUGUAAAUUUACAGAAGUUAACUUCUGUGGAGCCAACGUGGUGUGAUGGCUAAAGUGCAUGUCUUUUACGCUGAAUACAUGGGAUCGAAUUUCACUGUCGGCAAACUCACAAAAAUGCAAGUUCUUCCUUCGGAAGGGAACUAAAACGUGUGUUCCAUGACAGACUAGCCUAGGGCUAAAAAUUUCAUUAAUACAGAUAGGAACAAUAUAAACUUCUUCAAAUUCUCACGAUCCAGUUGAGCGCAUAAUAUGUCACAGAAAUUUACACUGUUUACACCUACAUAAAAUAUGUUUGAUGAUUUGAAAAUCCGGCCAAUCUAGUACAGUUGUUGGAACCGCAGAACUGUAGCUGAAUAAAGGUAAUGAUCCACUAAGUAGUAUUGACAUUGACGUGAUACUUUGUGUUUAGAAACUAGGUAUGAAAAAGUCGUGAAAGUGUAUGAAAAUACUAACGCUUCUCGUAAAUAAGAAGUAUCGAGAAUAUUAGUAAUUUUCCAUUAAACUACCCAGUAUUAGAGAUUGGUGUUACCCUUGAGCUAAACUUUUAGAAUAUAAUGUUGUCAGGACUUUUCCUCAUGAGUCAUGACAUUCCGGGUCAUUUCUCAUCACUGAUCGGAAUUCCAUCAAAGUUUAGAUCUCUUAGUUGUGGGGUGUAAACAAAGGAUUGUGACAUGCCCUUUGCUUGUCCUUCCCCUAAAAAAGCAUCAUUAACAGCAAGCAGCAUGGUGAGGUUGUCAGUGUGAUGAUGCCUCAUUGAGGAGUGGAGCUUUGGCGGAGUAAGUCGCCUGCAUCAUGAGGUUUCGUAUUAUGCCAAGUGAUUCUACCGUAAUUUGCUAGGAUGGCUGGAUACGGAUUGUUCCAGUAAAUGACGUAACAUUCAUAUAAGUCUGGGGUCUUCCACUUAGAACAUAAAUUAACGUAAAUAUUUGCACCGGAAUAUCUAGAUAUCCUUUCGCAAUUGAAAUUUGGAUUCGUCAGCUUGUAUUUCUGUUUUGUGGAUGUUUCUUAUAAAAAAUCUGCUCAAAUUUUUCGGAAACAGUUCAGAUUUCAAAACAUUUUUUAGAAAUAUAUCAUAAAAUAACAAAUAGAUUCUGGGAUUAUUAAAAAUUAUAUAUUACAAAAAAAUGCACCCAAAAUUUCUUCCAUCAGUUUUUCAAAAAUUUAGCAAAAACUCCUUCCAGAGUACCGCCACAAACUGCAGAAAGUGUAUGAAACCCAACAUUUCUACAGAAAUACGUCAAGAAUACUUGAAUUUUCCAAAAUGUCAUUGAAAGUUCUUCUAAUGAGUGAUCAAAAAAAUUCCUCACAGAUUGUUCUGAGCAUUCCGUCAGAAAAUUUGUAAAAAAAACUUCAUGAGAAGUCCUUUUUAGCAUAUUUUUCUGACCCUAAUAAAAGGCUUGCUACACUAUCAAAGAUUGCUCUUCACCCUACGAGGAGUUAUCCUCGCUCGAGUCCUAGGAAAAUAAUUUACAGAAAUCCAGUCCACGAAGAAAUCUGAAGUUUACUGUUUUUUUUCUAAAGGAAAAAUUCCAGGAGAAACCAUAAGAAGAAUUUCGGAAGUAAUACCUCAAAGAACUGAGAGAGAAACCUCUGAAGAAAUCCUUGAACAUAUCUCUAAAGGAGUCCCAGGAAAAUUCUUACGAGGAUUCGUCCAGGAAUUCCUGAAGAAUUCCCUUAAAUUAACGAAUCCAGGGAGAAAUCUCUGAAAGAAUCCAAUUGAAAGAAUUCUUGGAGGAAUCCCUCAAUGAAUCACUGGAAUAAUUCCCUUUAGAAGUUUCAGAAAGAAUUUUGGAGUAUGUUAAAAUUUUCCGGGAGGAAUUAUUGAAGUAAUUUCGUUAGGAAUCACUUCAAGAAUCUCGGAAAGAUUCCCGAGAGUAAUCCAUGCAGGAUUUUCUGAAGAAAUACCGAAAGGUAUCCCCGAGAGAAUCCCUGUAGGAAUCCAUAUAGGAAACUCUUGACGGAUCCCUGAAAGAAUCUCGGGAGAAUUCCAUGAGAAAAUCCCAGGAGAAAACCUUGUAGUAAUCCCAGGAGAAGUAACUGAAGGAAAUUCGGGAAGAAUCAUUUAAGGAUGCGGAAUCCCUGAAGGAAUCCCAGGAACAAUUCCAUUGAAAAAUCUUUGAAACAAUUCUGAAAUAUUCCAAAGAGGAAUUAUUGAAGGAAUUACGCAAAGAAUCUGUCAAGAUUUGUCAAGAAAUCGCGAUAGGAAUCCCAGGAGGAAUCCAUGCAGAAAUCCCGGCAUCAUUCCCUGGAAGAACUCCCUGAAAGAAUUCUUGGGAGAAACCUGGGAGAAAUCUCUGAACGAAUCCUUAUAGAAAUCCCUUAAGGAAUCCCUUAAAGAAUGUUGGAAUAAAUCUAUGAGAAAAUCCUGAGUGCCUAAGUAACAUCUUGAUGACCUAUUAGCCUUGUAGAGGUUUUGGGGACAGUCAUAAAACCUAAUACUUUUUAUUUUGGUAUAACACAACCAAAAAACCUCGCUCGUCGUAUAUAGCGCAAUUGCGGUUCAGUUUCAGGAUCAAACAUGCGCACGUGCUGAAAGAAUGACUCAUCUCUGAAAGAAUUCCUGGAGAAAUCAAUGAAGGGAUUUCGGAAGGAAUCCCUGAAAAAUUCUCGGGAGGAAUUCUUAAAGGAACAUUGUGAGGAAUCCUCGAAGAAAUUCCUGAGGAAUCCCUAUAGGAAUUCUGAGAGGAAUUCCCAAAGGAAUUCCGGGAGGAAUAUCAGAAAGAAUCCAGGGAGGAAACUUGGAAAAAAUCCAUGAAAGAAUCCUUCAAAGAACCCUCAAGGAAUUUCGGGAGAAAUUCGUGAGAAAAUCCCAUAAGGAAUCCAUGCAGUAAUUCCGGGAGAUAUCUCUAAAGGAAUCCUGUAUGGAAUCUUGAAGGAAUACCGCGAGGGCUCUCUGGAAUAAUCCGAGAAGAAAACGGAAGUAGUGUCCGAAAGAAUCGUCAAAGGAAUCCCUGAUGGAAUUCCUGGAAGAAUCCAUAGCCUAGGAGAAUUUUUUUAACCCUUCAGGAUGCGCGCCGUUAUGAUAAGUACAAGACACAUUCUACCGUGACGUUACAACGUUUCGAUGCCGUUUUGAUAAGAUUUCCCACUAUAACUCGUAAAUACGACGGUAAACCUCAAAUAUGUUUGCAUGUUCGGAUUCGUUGUAAAACAAUAUGAUCUGUUGAACAGUUAGUUUCCAUUUGUGAAGUGUGUUCAAAAUGUGAAUUAAGAGCGUGACAUUACAACGUUGUAACGUCACGCUACUCGUUCUCAUUUUUAACCAGCUUUUGCAAUGAAAACUAUAUGUUCAACUGAUCAUAUAUACUGCAAAUUUUACAAGGAUUCCGAGUGUGCAAAAAUGUUUGAGAUUUACAUGGGUUAUAGUGGAAAAUCUGACCAAAACGGUGUCAAAACGUUAUAACGUAACGGUAGAAUGUGUCACAACACAAUCGAAAACCUCGCUUCUCGUAUACAGCGCGAGCGUGGUGCAUUUAAGGAUCAAAAAGGCGCGUAUGCUGAAAGGUUAAACCAUCCCUGAAAGAAUUCCAGGAGAUCAGGAGAAAUCAAUAGAGAUAAUCCCUGAAAGAAUCACGGGAGGUAUCUGUGAAGAAAUACCGAUAGGAAUCCCUGAAAUAAUCCCGGGAGGAAUCUCUGAAGGAGUCCUGGAAGUAAUCUAGGAAGGAUUCCUAGGAGUAAUCUCCAAUGGUAUUCCUAAAAGAAUCUCUGUAGGUAUUUUCAAAGAAUCUCUAUAGGAAUCCCUAAGAGAAUAUGUGGGAGAAUUUCCUUAAAAUCCCAGAAGGAACUCCGGAAAGAAUCCUUGAAAUAUUCCCGGGAGAAGUCCCUGAAUGAAUACUGAAAGAAAUCCCAGGAAUAAUCUCCUAAGUUAUUUCUAAAAGAAUCACUGUGGGAAUUCCUAAAAAAAAACCUGGGAGAAUUUACUUUAAAAUCCCAUAAGGAACUCCGGGGAAAAUCCCUGAAGAAAAGCCGGGAGGAAUCCCUGAAAUAAUCCCGUGAUGAUUCUCCUUGAAGGAGUCCUUGAAAGAAUUCCUCGGGAAAAUUAGCUUAAGAACCCCGUGAAAUAAACCCGGAAGGAAUCUCUGGAUGAAUCCUAGAAGAAAUCCUCGGAGGAAUCCAUAGAGAAGGAACCCCUUGAAGAAUCUUGGUUGCAAUCCGUGAGCCUUGGCAGGAAUCCCUGUAGAAAUCUCUACAGGAAAUACGAGAAGAAUAAAUGACGGAAUAUCGGGACUUGGGAGGGAAUUCUGAAAGAAUCCUCGAGAAAGUCCUCGAAUAAUCUUGAGAGAUAUCCAGAAAGGAAUGAAAUUCCCUUAAGGUAAUACUGGGAGGAAUCCCGGGAGGAAUCCCAGGAGAAAUCUCUAAAGUUAGUUUGGGAAAAGAAUCCGUGGAGAAAUCUCAUAAGAUAUCACAGAAGGCAUCCCUGAAAAUAUGCCGGAAGAAAUAUUUUGCAAGAAUGCCCGGAGGACAGGGAUAGGGUGCGACUCAAAACUCUUUGCGUGCCGCACACGCUGCUACGAGACAGCACAACAAACCAGAAGGAGACGAGUACGAGUAAACGGUUGUGUGUUGCUCGCUUACUUUGCCGCGCGCUGGAGCUCUCCUGUCUCUCACGAUCUGUCGUAUGCACUCUCUCGGUGCUUGUCUCCGUGCUUUGCACUUAACUUGAUACUACGCAUGAUUGGGAAAACUUCGAAUCAAACGACCCAUCACUCGUCAACCCUUGACAAGCUUAACAACUUUGCCGAAAACACAAACUCUUCAAUUAAUGUAUUAAAUGAUUUUUCCUGUUUGGAGACAAGCACAGUCUCAAGCACCGUGCAUUACUCCCUGCGCCGUAGAGCUAGUGCUGCGAUUUGUCUCUCGCGCAAUUACGAAAGCUCUCACUCAUACGUCUCUGUCUCUCGGCAAAACGGGAGACAAGCACUUGAGAUUGUGUGAAGCACACGCUUUUUUCGCACCGCACGGUGCAUGCCGCCAAUCCUUGCCGGAGGAUUCAGAAAACCUGGAAGAAAUUUCUGAAUCUCAGGUUUUUUUAUGAGUGACCGGGAGAAAUCUCUAAAGGAUUCUCUGGAAGAAUGAAUUAAUUGCUCUGGACUUGAAAUAUCCUGAAACAUUUUCGUAGAUAUCGUUUCAGGCAAUUUCCGACAUCAGCAAAUUCGUUUUUUGUUUCUUAUACACCCUUUCCAGAAACUAAAAAUACGCUACAGAAAGCAGCAAAAUUUUGAAUUUAUCGGUGUUCCUGCAAACAAGUAAACAGUAUACGAAAUUGUUCAAAUUUGUUGACCGAUAAUAAUCGAUUUCAUUCUUGCAGCUCACCCAGUGCGGUGCAUUUAAGGAUUCCUGAAAUAAUCCCGGGAAGAAUCUCUGGAGGAAUCUCGGAAAAAGUUCUAGAAGGAAACCCAGGAGUAAUCUCUGAAGGAAUCUUUGAAGGAAUUUCUGAAAGAAUCCCUGGGAUUUUUUAAGAAUCCCUGAAAGAACCCAGGGAGGAAUCAAUGAAGCAAUUUAAAAAGAAGUCCCUAAAAUAAUCCCGGGAAGAAUCUCUGGAUGAAACCAGGUUAAGCAGAACAAUUCCUCUAGCUGCUUCUUUGGUGCGGUUGCCUUCGUCAUACCCAAAACGAGAUAAAUUGUGAAGUCGUAAGUGAGGUAAAAUUGAAACGUGAAAAUUUGCGUAAUUAUUCGGUUUCAGUGCUAUGGAGGGUGAUAAUUGAUAGUAUACAUAUUUUUGCUUCCAUAUUAUGAGCCAUUGGCAAAGGUCAGUUUGAAUAUCUGUAACUAUCGACUGAUAUGGCGGAAAUUAACGCAUAUGAGGAAGAAGAUUUCCUCCCUAUAUCAUUGGGGUUUUCAAAGACAUGUUAAACAUUUUGGGACACUUUUUGUUGAUUUCUUUUAGAUAACAGCAUGCAUAUCAGACCUAUCCAGAUAUUCAUGAUAUCAAAAAACUAUAAGCUGUAAAGUAAUAGAGCUGAAAACCUCAACUUUGCUAAUUUUGCCGCAAUUAUUCAUCCCGUUUCCCUCCUUCCAAACAUACAAAAUAACAACAAAAUUCCAAGUGACAUUAAUCACAAAAUCAGGAUAAAUGCAAAUGCGUAAAAUCUUCUCCUCUCCAUUCCUACCCCCCACUCAAUAUCAAUAAAUUUCAAUAAUAUUGUAAAAAUUAUCGGUCCCAGACCACGCACUACAAAGGGGGGCCGAUUCCUCGACCCGAAACAAAAAACCUGGGAAAACCCCCGAACAUUGUCCUGCCCAAAAACAGUAAAUUAAAAUUCACGAAUAUAUUAACCAAAAGUCGUUGUUGUCGUCGUCGUCAUUGGCAUCGGAAUCCGGUUUGGGAAUGGCCAGCGCGUGGCCCAUCCUCGGGGAAAGGUCCGAAUGGAUUUCGGAGAGCGCGAGAGGAAAGAAAAAAAAAACACGAAACGGAGAAACCGGAAAUGUAAUUUUUUCGACAACGAGAUAAAAUGACCUUUUCCACACCCACCCACGCACGCACGCAGUGAGCAAAUUCGAGAAAUUAAAACAAAUUUGGGCAGAAGAAAAGCCAUCCAUCAGAAGUCCCGAUCGGAUUCCGGGGCUUGUGGGUCGCUUCGAUUAUUUUUUUUUUUGCAGAAGCGCUUCUACAUAGUGCUAACCAGUUGAUGAUUGGUAGGUUGGCAUCAAUAAAUAAUGUUGGUAAAAAUCGCUUUUUGGUUCAAUUUGUUUUUGGACUUCAACAAGUUUUUUUU